rnacentral:rRNA from 1 species
UACGUAGGGGGCAAGCGUUGUCCGGAAUCAUUGGGCGUAAAGAGCUCGUAGGCGGUUCGGUAAGUCGGGUGUGAAAACUCUGGGCUCAACCCAGAGCCGCCACCCGAUACUGCUGUGACUUGAGUUCGGUAGGGGAGCGGGGAAUUCCUGGUGUAGCGGUGAGAUGCGCAGAUAUCAGGAGGAACACCAGUGGCGAAGGCGCCGCUCUGGGCCGAGACUGACGCUGAGGAGCGAAAGCGUGGGUAGCAAACAGG